UACUUCGAAGCUUCAGACGUUUACUUGGGGAAGAGCCGGUCAGAAGCUGACAGAUGACCUGGUUGUGUUCUCGUGAACGUGUUCGUUUUCUGAUCCAGACAUUGAUUCUCUCAGAGUAACACUUGGGACAAUGUGGGAGGAACACGAACUAGAAGAAAUCCCUUCUGUAGCAGAACGCAGAGCUGCAUAUGGCCGUUAUAGGUAACGUGUCCCGGAGCUUCAACAUGUGCGGGCUGCUGUCCCUGUGCUGGAAGCCUGAGAGAUGUCGGGUGUGUGGCCACGUCAUCACCAGCGAAGAGUAGCCAGCGCUUAGACUAGCUACCAACCAAAACCCUGCGGAAGAUGCCUUGUAUACAUAGGUAUAUUUAGGGACCCACGGAGAAAAAACAGAAAAUUGCGUAAUUUUUUAAUGGUGCCGAGGGACGCCUUGAUUUGCUUGGCUCUUUUAGCCUAGCGGGUGCAGACGAUAACAGCAUGUUGGGAAUUUUUUUAUUAAUUUUUUUAAUGCUUAUCUAUAGGUUUUAGGCUAUGACUAAGAGUGAUUUUUAUUCUUUAGGCUGGACAGAUUUCUGAAAGUACUAUUAAAUUUUUACUCUAA